rnacentral:tRNA from 1 species
GGGUUCGUGAUCUAGAGCAAGUUAUUACCACAUAUCUUGUGGACAUUGGUUAAGAUGCCGCCUUGACGUGGCGGAUGUCGCAGGUUCAAAUCCUGCCGGACCCA